AAUGGGGGCAACCCUGAUCCAGCCAUGCCGCGUGCGGGAAGAAGGCCUUCGGGUUGUAAACCGCUUUCGGACGGAAAGAAAUCGCAUGGACUAAUACUCUGUGUGGAUGACGGUACCGUAAGAAGAAGCACCGGCUAACUACGUGCCAGCAGCCGCGGUAAUACGUAGGGUGCGAGCGUUAAUCGGAAUUACUGGGCGUAAAGCGUGCGCAGGCGGUUUCUUAAGCCAGACGUGAAAUCCCCGGGCUUAACCUGGGAACUGCGUUUGGAACUGGGAGACUAGAGUGUGUCAGAGGGAGGUGGAAUUCCGCGUGUAGCAGUGAAAUGCGUAGAUAUGCGGAGGAACACCGAUGGCGAAGGCAGCCUCCUGGGAUAACACUGACGCUCAUGCACGAAAGCGUGGGGAGCAAA
rnacentral:rRNA from 1 species